rnacentral:rRNA from 1 species
CAGUCGCCGCGGGAAUACGAAGGGGGCUAGCGUUGUUCGGAUUUACUGGGCGUAAUGGGUGCGUAGGCGGAUUGUUAAGUCAGGGGUGAAAUCCCGAGGCUCAACCUCGGAACUGCCUUUGAUACUGGCGAUCUUGAGUCCGGGAGAGGUGAGUGGAACUGCGAGUGUAGAGGUGAAAUUCGUAGAUAUUCGCAAGAACACCGGUGGCGAAGGCGGCUCACUGGCCCGGAACUGACGCUGAGGCACGAAAGCGUGGGGAGCAAACAGGAUUAGAUACCCCCGUAGUCCCUGUCUCUUAUAA